CGCCAGGCGCCGCGGGUCCCGCGCGCUCGGCCCGUCGCCGCCGCCGCCCUUCCCCCUCGCCGCAUGAGGCUGACGGCGCUCCCACAGCCGCCCGCCCGCCGCCUCCUCCUCAUCCGCCGCCGCCGCCCUUGAUGUGGUUCGGGGCCGGGCGGGGGACAAGAUGCCGCCGUCCAAGUCCCGCAAGAUCGCGAUCCUGGGCUACAGGAGCGUAGGAAAAUCUUCACUGACGAUUCAGUUUGUGGAAGGACAGUUUGUUGAUUCCUAUGAUCCAACCAUAGAGAACACUUUUACGAAACUGAUCACUGUAAAUGGCCAAGAAUAUCACCUUCAGCUGGUUGACACUGCUGGCCAGGAUGAAUACUCCAUAUUUCCUCAGACAUACUCCAUAGACAUCAAUGGCUACAUUCUUGUUUAUUCAGUCACGUCAAUAAAAAGUUUUGAAGUGAUAAAAGUUAUCCAUGGCAAGUUAUUGGAUAUGGUGGGAAAAGUCCAAAUACCCAUUAUGCUGGUUGGAAAUAAAAAAGACCUGCAUAUGGAACGGGUGAUCAGCUAUGAAGAAGGGAAAGCUUUAGCAGAAUCCUGGAAUGCAGCUUUCUUGGAAUCUUCUGCUAAAGAAAAUCAGAUUUUGGUGGCCUGCUAAGGCUUUGGAGCUUGUGCAUCAUACUGGGCACCUGGGACUUUGAGAGGGCAAUUCUGGGCCCAGGAAAAGAUGCAGGUUAAACUAAGUCUUGGUUGGAGAUCAUCGGCCAGAUUGGGUGAAUGCUUCCUACAAGAAGAAUUUGGGGUAUUUCGGGGCUUUUUUGGGUUCAUUCUAAAAGUCAACUUCAAGCUGGAAGUGUUUAAGGACAUCGUGUAUCUUGUAAGCAAAAUGCGAGGCACGCAGGAUCGCAUCUUUCUGAGCUCUGACCUGGAGCUGAGUUCAGACCGCCGUUGAUGUUUUUAAGAGGAUAAUUUUGGAGGCAGAAAAAAUCGAUGGGGCAGCUUCACAAGGGAAGUCUUCAUGCUCAGUAAUGUAAUUCCACUGCAAAGCCUGAAAACAAUGGGAAUACAUUCUACCUGAAGAAGCAAAACUGCCCUUUAUCUUCAAGGAUAAACUAUGCUUCUUUUUUUUUUUUUUUCUUUUUUUUUUUUAAUUUUUUAAUUUUGUGGGUUUUUUUUUUCUUCUGUUAACCUGAGAGAUACACAGUUGGUUUGGAGCCUUUCCCUUCAGAUUAUGUUAAACUCUGACUCCUGUGCAAAUGGCUUCACUUCCAUUUUCAAAUUUUAAGCAAUCAUAUUUUCAAUUUAUAUAUUGUAUUUCUUAAUAUUAUGACCAAGAAUUUUACUGGCAUUAAUUUUUCAGUGUAGUUUGUUGGUUAGAAUAAUCAUCAAAAUGAUGCAUAUUGUUACACUACUAUUAACUAGGCUUGGAUAUCAGUGUUUCUUUGUGUUAAAUGUAUACUUGUAAAUAAAAUAGCUGCAAACCUUC